UAGACGAUGACUAUUACAGUUUUUUUAGAUAAAUAACUAAAAGAGUCCCGUGUUAAGCGUCGUUUCAAAACAAUUAUCAAUCCUUAUCAGUCGUCAUUAACCCAAUUAUAAAAACAGAAUCAAACUAUAAAAAACUUACAGAAAGCCGAACCAACAAACUUACAUUUGAUUUAUUAAUUUAAUAUUAAUCCCAACGGAACUGUUUUACUUUAAUUAUAGCGAUGGGGCUGGUAAUUUACAUAUUAUUUUAAUUUUUAAGGUGGUAUUUGAUUGCACUUUUUAAAAGUCUAAAUUUGAAAAUAUUGCUUUUCAGAUCCUCACAGUUGUUUGGUUUAUCUUCUUAAACUUGAUCUGAAUUUAGUUUUUAGAUCUGAAAACCGUAGACCUUGGGCCAGUUCUUAACAUGUUCAGACGCGUUUCAGAGUUGUCGAAGCUGCCCUUACAAAAUUUUAAAAAUGAUGUGCACUACCCUGAUAACCCCAAACCCUGAAAACAUAGUCAUUUUCGUAUUUUCUGAGAGGAAGCGCCACUGGUGAAAUCGAAGCUCCAGGAAGAACACUGCCGGUGAAUCCAAGUUCCAAGAAGAAUGACGCUCAUGAAUCUGUCCUCUAGGCCAAGGUGGUAGCGCAGCUCAUCCUCUGGAGCUGCAUAGAGUAUCUUCUGCCCUAAAUGUGUUUGACAAUAGGCGGAAGAGAAGAGUACAAAAGAUGUGUUGCAGCUCAUCCUCUGAACCCCCAGUUCCUCCACUGAUAGAUGUGUUACAGCCUCCAACAAGUCAUGGAUUUCCAGUGUUUCAAGUUCAAUAAGUUUUGGCAGCACUGUCAAGCUAUUGCUUAUCUGAUGGCCAGAGGACUUACCUUGGUUAAUCAUUUACGCCUUGGGUAGAGUGGAAUAAAAUGGCAGUAAUUGGUAUUUGGUAGAGUGGAAGGACUGAUGUCCAUGUCCAUCAAAUAGUUCCAAGGCCUCUCGUAUUCUCUUGUUUGUGAUCAUUGGAGACAAAUAGUUGGGCUCCCUCUGUUUUGAGAACUUGUAUACGAUCUAUAUUGCUCAUUUUGAUCAUCUAUUUAUCGUAUAGCAUAUAUUGCUCAUUGGCUGAAGUUUUCCUAACGCAAUUUGUUUUUAGAUUUGAAAUCUUAGUAAUAUAACUGGGGAUAGUAAUGGUUGUCCUUUUAAGUC